CACUUAAAGUUGUUUGGUUAAUAAACUCACAUUUAAGCCAACAAAUCUUAACAAACAUACAAAGUCCACACAAAAGCUGCGGUGUGUUGACAGUAUCUUCACUCGAAGCAUUUUUCUAAACAGUAACUUUGAGAGAAAUCCAGUGUUUCUCCCUCCUGGCCUCCUCCGUAUUCCUUUCCCGGCUGAUCUGAUUAUUUUUCCCUUCACGUUUUGUCCCAAUAGCAAAUUACCAAUUCUAUGAAUUGCAAAGCAGCCUCGGAGACGCUGAGGGGUAGAGAGGGGGAGAUGCGAAGAUUGAAAGGGAUCUUUGCAAACACAAUCACGUUCUUAAAUGGAAAUGUGGGGCUUUAAACAAAUCUUACAUCUCUCCUGUUCCAGUCGUCUAAAACUCCGCAAUCAGGCACACGUUCGACUCCAUCUAAACCACAGCUUUUUUAGAAGAUUUUUUUUGGUAUCACUUCUAUUUAAAUUAUUUACCUCAGUGUAUUUUUUUUAGUUCACGUUCUUGUUUGUGUGUUUGUCUUGCUCUUAUGGGGUGUUUCCACAGGCUUUUGCGAGGAAAAGUGCCGUUACAAGCGGAGAAUUCAGGCGUCAAACCAAAACGCUUCUCUGUGGACUAAUGGAGCUGAAAGCUGAUGAUGAUGAUGAUAGAGAAAAUAUCAUGCAAACAUAAUUUUCCUUCUGUGAAAGCAGAUGCAGAGGAAAAAAAGGCUCAAAGGGGCCAGAAAGGACCGAGCGACUUGCAUUAGAGACAUCUGAGAAGUCCAUUGAAAGAGCCAAUAAUGGGAUCAAGGGGCGUUUGUGUAUGAAUUCGACCGUAUGAUAUCAAGACGGCUGCUUUAGCAACAGAUGCUUUGAGAUCACCACGAUAUGCUCGCACUGAACUUCUAGCCACGGGGUUACGUGCCUUAUGUGUGUGUUUCCAUACUGUGGAGACUAAGAGAUAGUGAUGGCAAACAGCAAAGUGACCAGACCAGCUUCAGCCCAAAAGGGGGUCACAACCAGACGGCAAGUGCUCCUGUCUCGAUGUCGUCUGUGGUCAAGCACACGCCAGGACAGACUGAAUUAAAUUAGACUGCUUUUAAUUGAGGAUUGACCGGUCUGAGAGCAGCUGACGCUUGGGUCAGUCAAGAUAGCAAAGCCUGAAUCCCCCAAGCCCCAGCUGCAAUUUCAGCCCUGCAGGUCCUGGAAUGGACUGGGAGGGAGAGAAGGCCCGAGCAUGCUGGGAAUGCAUGGCUGAUGAUUAGCAAUAAGAGUUUAUAGGAAGGCUUAGAUGAGAUUUGUCUUGUUUGCUUGAGUGGAAAGUGUAACACACACACACACACACUCAGAGCCUGUAGACUCAGCGUAAAUCGGCUUAAGGUUUGCACCUCGCUGAAAAUCUCCUCAAUCGCCCGGUCGACACAAUUAAUCGCUUCAUUAAUUAACAAUCGCUGCGCGAUACACCACCCCGACUGUGUCUUGGCAAGCGUGCAACUUACAAGCAACCCUUCUUUUUCUUCUUACGUUCUCUUCUUUCAGUCCUCCCACCCACUUCGAUACUCCUCUUUAUCUUUUUCUUCUGCACUCCUUUUCUUUUCUUUCUAUAAGCAGCAUUGCAAAAGCCGACUCUGCUGUUUUAGCACGAACAGACGCACUUUUCUCUCAGCAAGCAGGUCAGAGCGCUCUGCUAACAUUUGUUAUCUAUAAUCCUGCAGGUCCCCGCGCAAAAUGAGCGUAGUAAACUCUUGCAAAGCCCUAAUCCCUCCGUUUCUUUUAGAUGUGCUUUUUCUCUCUCUCUCAUGCUCUUUUCUUUUCCAUCUUUGGGGUGGGAAAGCAUUUUUAAGAGGAGGCAUCUCUGAUUGUUGAGCUUUUCUGAAUUACCCAACUUCUUUUACUUAGGAGAUCAUCAACCUUUUUUUGGCAAUUAAAAAGAUUUUGAAUUUUUUAACACACUAAUGCUGGAGAAUUAUUUCAGACCGCCACCAGACGCCCAUGCUUUUGUGACAGGCUUUGUUGAUUCGCUAUUCAGACUCCUUGUGUGUGGUUCACAGAAAUCUCUUCUCUUUAUUCAUACUGUAUGCAUUUAGGGUUCGACUGUCGGUGUCAGUUAAUCUGGCUUUUGCGGUUGAUUCAUCUCAGUAACUUACAAGGAUAUGUGCAAAAAAAAAAGUUUUUUCUUUCGCCAUCACUCUCAAUUAUCUAUGAGCUGAUUUGAUUUGAGUUCGAUACUAUGCAAAUUAUGUAUAUGAAUGCUUUUGUCUUGGUCAUGCACACCCACACAUGUAGCGAGCACGUCGGGGUGUGUGUGUAUGUGUGUUGUAUGGUGAGUAAUAGCAGGGCUCGGUGGAAGGCUGUAGUGUUGACAGCAUGGUAAACGAUGCAGCCUGCCUACUGCAGCAGCUAGCCUGCUAAUCACACACACCACAUGAUAAUGAGAACAACCCCUGUCCUCCAACACACACACAAUAACCACUAACCACAGCAAACAGACACAAACUCCCUCUCACACACACUGACCCAUACUUCUACAGACAAAUGGAAGACAUAAUGGUAGCCGGAGGCAGUGCACGGUGGAUCUCUCUAUCUUGCUCUCUUACACUCUUGAACCAAGCACAUCUCUAUCGCUUUACUGUCCUUACACACACACAUACACUCUUCUCUCUUGUACUAACAGCUUUCUGACAGAAGAGAAGCCACACUUACACUAAGAAAGUGACUUGAGAUUUGAUGUAGAAUCAUAGGCAAUUAAGAUUGGACUUCAGAGACUUGUAAUUCAAUGUUUUUAGGCCUGAAAGGUGAUGUGUUAUACACACAUCAUGAUGAGUAAUAAAAUUAGUUACUAAAAUAACAUUUUAAUAAUUUAAGUAAACAAACUAUUAAUUAAAUUCGA